rnacentral:rRNA from 1 species
CUGGGGAGUACGACCGCAAGGCGAAACGAAAGGAAUUGAUGGCCCACCCGCACAAGCGGGGGAGCAUGUGGUUUAAUUCGAAGCAACGCGAAGAACCUUACCAAAUCUUGACAUCCUCUGACCCCUCUAGAGAUAGAGUUUUCCCCUUCGGGGGACAGAGUGACAGGUGGUGCAUGGUUGUCGUCAGCUCGUGUCGUGAGAUGUUGGGUUAAGUCCCGCAACGAGCGCAACCCUUAAGCUUAGUUGCCAUCAUUAAGUUGGGCACUCUAAGUUGACUGCCGGUGACAAACCGGAGGAAGGUGGGGAUGACGUCAAAUCAUCAUGCCCCUUAUGAUUUGGGCUACACACGUGCUACAAUGGACAAUACAAAGGGUAGCGAAACCGCGAGGUCAAGCAAAUCCCAUAAAGUUGUUCUCAGUUCGGAUUGUAGUCUGCAACUCGACUAUAUGAAGCUGGAAUCGCUAGUAAUCGUAGAUCAGCAUGCUACGGUGAAUACGUUCCCGGGCCUUGUACACAC